rnacentral:rRNA from 1 species
AUGUUUGUUCCGGCGGCCGUGCCCCACCACCACUGCCACACACGUCUCGCCGACAAGCUGCGCACCGCCGCCAUGGAUAGGAUUCCGUCGGAAACCAAGGCCAUCUACGACCUCCUUCGCGCCGACUUCGAUCAAGCCAACCGCGACCGCAUUGAGUCCACAGCGAAGGCCCUCGCCCAACUCGAUGCCAAACUCGACCUCCUCUCUGGGCGAAUCGAUGAGGUCAAGGUGUCGAUUGGGGUCAACCUCGAUGAGCUGCGGCAGGGCCUCGACAAGUCAACGCCGCAGGCUCUCGAGCUGCCGAGGAGCGCACCAGUUACGCCGCCGAGAGCUCCGAGCGGCGGAUCCACGGGUCCUGAUGGCCUCCGUUUCGACAACGAGAAUAGGGAGCAAGGGCAUAAGGUUUAUGUCCCACCUCCCGUCAGAGGUAUGCAUUUCGACCAAGCAAUACAACGUGUUCCUUUUGCUCCCUUGGAAAAUUCUCGCCAGACUUCUGCUGAUGUGUUCGGUGUUGGACCUCGGAUCGAGAUGCCGCGUUUUGAUGGGGCCAACCCAAAAUUGUGGCAGACUCAUUGCGAGGAUUAUUUCAGAUUUUGGGGCACACCACAUAAUUAG